AUACGGAGGGUCCAAGCGUUAUCCGGAAUCAUUGGGUUUAAAGGGUCCGCAGGCGGUCAAUUAAGUCAGAGGUGAAAGCCCAUCGCUCAACGAUGGAACUGCCUUUGAUACUGGUUGACUUGAGUUAUACGGAAGUAGAUAGAAUAAGUAGUGUAGCGGUGAAAUGCAUAGAUAUUACUUAGAAUACCGAUUGCGAAGUCAGUCUACUACGUAUAUACUGACGCUGAGGGACGAAAGCGUGGGGAGCGAACAGGAUUAGAUACCCUAGUAGUCC
rnacentral:rRNA from 1 species